rnacentral:rRNA from 1 species
UACGUAGGGUGCAAGCGUUGUCCGGAUUUAUUGGGCGUAAAGAGCUCGUAGGUGGUUUGUCGCGUUGUUCGUGAAAACUCACAGCUCAACUGUGGGCGUGCGGGCGAUACGGGCAGACUAGAGUACUGCAGGGGAGACUGGAAUUCCUGGUGUAGCGGUGGAAUGCGCAGAUAUCAGGAGGAACACCGGUGGCGAAGGCGGGUCUCUGGGCAGUAACUGACGCUGAGGAGCGAAAGCGUGGGGAGCGAACAGG